rnacentral:rRNA from 1 species
GACGAACGCUGGCGGCGUGCCUAAUACAUGCAAGUCGAACGCACUCUCGUUUAGAUUGAAGGAGCUUGCUCCUGAUUGAUAAACAUUUGAGUGAGUGGCGGACGGGUGAGUAACACGUGGGUAACCUGCCCUAAAGUGGGGGAUAACAUUUGGAAACAGAUGCUAAUACCGCAUAAAACCUAACACCGCAUGGUGUAGGGUUGAAAGAUGGUUUCGGCUAUCACUUUAGGAUGGACCCGCGGUGCAUUAGUUAGUUGGUGAGGUAAAGGCUCACCAAGACCGUGAUGCAUAGCCGACCUGAGAGGGUAAUCGGCCACACUGGGACUGAGACACGGCCCAGACUCCUACGGGAGGCGAG